rnacentral:rRNA from 1 species
ACGUGAAGCCUAGUACUUAGUAUUGGGUGGAAAGUGGCGAACGGGUGAGUAACACGUUGGUGACCUGUCCCGAGGAGGGGGAUAACCGUGGGAAACCAUGGCUAAUACCCCGGAUGUCUAGGUGGUUAGAGGGCCUAGACUAAAGCUCCGGCGCCUUGGGAGGGGCCUGCGGGCUAUCAGCUUGUUGGUGGGGUAACGGCCUACCAAGGCUAAGACGGCUAGGGGGCGUGAGAGCGCGACCCCCCACAAUGGAACUGAGACACGGUCCAUACUCCUACGGGAGGCAGCAGUGAGGAAUAUUGCGCAAUGGGGGCAACCCUGACGCAGCAACGCCGCGUGGACGAUGAAGGCCUUCGGGUUGUAAAGUCCUUUUCUGAGGGGCGAUAAUGACGGUACCUCAGGAAUAAGUCCCGGUUAACUACGUGCCAGCAGCCGCGGUAAAACGUAGGGGGCGAGCGUUAUCCGGAUUUACUGGGCGUAAAGCGCACGUAGGCGGCGCCGUAAGUUGGACGUGAAAGCUCUCGGCUCAACUGAGAGAGGUCGUUCAAUACUGCGGUGAUUGAGGUUGGAAGAGGAGAGUGGAAUUCCCGGUGUAGUGGUGGAAUGCGUAGAUAUCGGGAGGAACACCAGUGGCGAAGGCGGCUCUCUGGUCCACACCUGACGCUGAGGUGCGAAAGCGUGGGGAGCGAACGGGAUUAGAUACCCCGGUAGUCCACGCCGUAAACGAUGGAUACUAGGUGUAGGAGGUUAUUUACCCCUUCUGUGCCGUAGCUAACGCGUUAAGUAUCCCGCCUGGGGACU